ACGAAGAUGAGCGCUUGUUGUUGUUUUUUUUCUUGCUUUGGCAAUCCCUGUAAUGGAGUAUGGAGGGGCUGUAGAAACCAUUCAAAGCAACCCAUGCCAUGUCCUUGUGACGUGUGUGGGAACUAAACCUAGGAAAUAUCAUUGUGUGUUUCAGUUUCAGCACGAUGAAGAUAGUGCUUUUAAUGGUGCACCUUAUUGGCCUCGCCUUCGGUCAGUAUCAGUGGACCAUAUUCGACCAGGAGCACGUGAACCUUUGCAGCGAAAGUUACAGCUGCGGCGGGCGUACUCACACCAUGUGUUACAAGGUUCGAACCGAUCCGUCUGAGCGAGGCAAGCAUCAAGAGCUUCAUGAUGGGACACAAUGGAUUGCGGAACAAGGUCGCAACGGAUCCCCGGCGGCCGGCGACGGAUAUGCAGUUUCUGCACUGGGACCGGGAUCUUCAAUCCAUGGCGGAGCGUUGGGUUCGCCAGUGCAUCGUCGGGUACGAUGAGUGCGAUUUCAUUGGUAACCCCUCCUUUCCGAUCGGCCAGAACGUUUUCUUCCAUCCCAAACCGAUACUGCAGCACUGGGAAGCGCUCGCACUCAGUACGUGGUUCGCCGAGAAGGACCGACCGGGCAGCAGCAACCUGUCCGUCGGUCGGCUGCAGAGCGCCGGGGUGUCCAACUACACGCAGCUCAUCUGGGCCCGGACCCAGUUCGUGGGCUGCGGUGCGGCCAGCAUGUACGGUGGCCAUCUGAUCGUCUGCUACUACCAUCCCAGGGGUAACGUCAUCGGCCAGCCGGUGUACACGGUGGGCCGGCGUGCCUGUACCGGCUGCCCGCAGGAGCGUGCCGCCUGUUCGCACGUGUUCCGAGGGCUUUGUGGAAUUGAUGAUAAACAUUCUGCGGGACAGCGACCGUACGCGCACAACGCAUUGCUGGUGAUGAUGUUUAUUGCCACCGUUUGGAGUAAAGGGUCGAUCGGCUGGAGGAGCGAAAGGACAUGAGAACAGGCGCACGCGAAAAUGGGGGAGCACACAAAGAACGCAAACUGGCUGAACCUCACCUGGCGUGUUAAGGCGUACGCGGGGACUCGAUUGCGAUGAUAGCAGAGAAUACGAACCCCGCAGGCGACUUUCUGACAUUUCUGACAGCAUAAAUCGUGCUGCGUGGUGGAUAGAUAAUGUGCGGGGGCUUAUUAAACAUGUCUCACCCGCUCUCCUUCUUCGUCCAGCGCGGCCCAAAGCUACGUUUGGAUUAGGUUUCCCAUCAAUCUGUCACUUGGCUUAAUCUAUGGGAGCUUUCUCCCUGGCGUUAUUAUGUUGAAUUGAUACAGAGCGAGCACCCUUCGGUCGGUAGAGCAAUUUAUUAUGCCCCUCUGAACGGGGUAAUUAAAAAUAUCCUUUUCCUUUCUUUCCCUCUCAAUCGAAAUCCACCCGCUUAUCGCUCAUGCAUGCAGAAGGGAUUUUUUUUUUCUCUCUCUCAAGAUGUAAGGAAGGAUUGCAAUGGGACGCUAGAGAAUCGGUGUGGAAUUUUACCAAAAAUUGAGCCAAACAAGGCUGCACAAAAAAAGAAUUAGCAAAUGAUUUUGUUGAACAGGCGAGAUCGUAAAGAUGAGAUCGGUUUCGGGUAAAAAAAAAAGAAAACACCCGUUCGCAGUGCAGGAGAAGUGCGAUAGUGAAGGAUUUAGUACAUUCCACAGUUUUGCCCAUUAUCCUGUCGUGUCAAUUCAUCUCCAUCUCGGCGAAUGACAAGAGCACUCGGCACAGACGC